UACGUAGGGUGCGAGCGUUGUCCGGAAUUAUUGGGCGUAAAGAGCUCGUAGGCGGUGUGUCGACGUCGGCCGUGAAAACCUGCAGCUUAACUGUGGGCGUGCGGUCGAUACGGGCAUCACUGGAGUUCGGCAGGGGAGACUGGAAUUCCUGGUGUAGCGGUGAAAUGCGGCAGAGAUCAGGAGGAACACCUGGUGGUGUAGACAGCUUACUGGACGAUAACUGGACGGCUGAGGCACGAAAGCGUGGGUAGCAAACAGG
rnacentral:rRNA from 1 species